ensembl:lncRNA
CAGCUAUUUCUGUUCUAGGUGUCUUCCCAAAAGAAUUAAAGACCUCAUAUUACAGUGAUAAAUGCAUGACCAUGUUGAUAGCACUGCAACUCAUAAUAGCUAAAUCUUGGAAACAGCCAUCCACAAAUGAAUGGAUAAACAAAAUGUAGUAUUUAUACAUAAUGCAGUAGAAGAAUAAACCUAGUCAUUUCUGGGAAAAUGGAUGCACCUUGAUGCCAUAAUGGCUCCAAGUCUCCUGUGGCCGCCCUUGAUAAUUCUCCAGGAACCAGGGAUCUGUAAAUUGGAAGAGAUAGGUCUCCAGGAGAGACUGAGAUGCUAUGGUGUGGUAUGAGGAGGCUUUGGGGAGCACCCAGCAGAAGACACCCCGAAAGAGAUGAAUACACAAAAUGGACUUGGACUCCUCCCAAGCUGCCGGAACUGUAACCCUUACUAGUAUUAAUCAGAAUAAAGUCGACAUGGGACCAAUGAACAUGGUACAGUGCCUACUGUGAGGAAAAGCUCAGCCUUACAUUUGUCCCCUCCUGGAUUCGAACUUGGAAGGCACCACCUGUGGAAGCAAUCAUGCAGAUUUCCCACAAUUUGGUUACAAGGUUCCUUCUUGUUCAAAUCUAGCGCGUAGACCCUACCUGGGUUCACGACCUUCAAAUCACAAGGACAACCAAGAGAUGAGAAUUUCUUCUGAAACGCGCUUCAGUGUCCAUUUCCCGAAACACAGACGAAGACUGCCUGGAGCUCUAACCUGGAAAUCUGAGACACAGAUAUUCAAAUCUCCUCACACUGCAUGGUUUGCAAGUAGUCUGACAUUGCGAGACUUUUAUGUAUUUAUUUUUUUACCACCACUGGAAAACUCUUUUGGGAUCUUCUAAUGUCAGACAGUUUACAGUGCCCAAUUCCUGAGGAUGUGCACUGCCUGCUUUUCCUUCAGAGUCAGUUUUUUUCCAGUGGGACUAAAGGGGUGACCAACAGUAAAGAGGGCAUCGGCUUAAAAUCCAAGUGAUGAGGACAUUGCAGAAGAUGGAUUGAAAACACUGCAUAGGCCGUGAAUGGUUGAGUGCUUGGUGAUAUGGUCAUAAUGGGCAUAGGAUUGAUGGGAAAUUCCAGCCUCGCCGGGGUCUGGUAGAAGACAUGAAGUAGACAAACUCAAGCACUCCAGGCUGCAGGUAAGAGGGAUGCAGUAACACCAAGAAUAAGUUUUCAUCCAUCCUCAGGCAAUAGAAGAUUUCAAGUUGUUUUGAUACAAAGCAGAAGGAAGUCAGGCUCCC